rnacentral:rRNA from 1 species
GUGCAGCAGGCGAGAAUCCUUCGCAAUGCAGGAAACUGCGACGAGGGAACUCCAAGUGCCUACGCUCAGCGUAGGCUGUUCUCAAGCCUAGAAAGCUUGAGGAGUAAGGGCUGGGUAAGACGGGUGCCAUCUGUGGUAGCAGUCAAUAGAUUCGAUUUGUUACUGCAAGGCAUAAGCCGCCGCGGGUAAUACCCGCAGCCCAAGUGGUGGCCACUUUUAUUGGGCCUAAAGCGUCCGUAGCCGGCCCGGUAAAUGCCUGGGUAAAUCGUGGAGCCCAACUUCACGAAUUCCGGGUAGACUGCCGAGCUCGGGACCGGAAGA